rnacentral:ncRNA from 1 species
CGGUCGACCAGGGGGAGCCUCAGAAAGAGGUUGAGAGGCUGCUGGCGGACGAUGCUUCCGCAGUGCGGCGACCCUCCCGAGCGAGAAUUUUUGCUCGGAGAACCUGAUCCGGUUCGUACCGGCGUAGGGAUUGGUAUGGAAAGCGGCU